GGAACCAAUGCAGGAACAAGCAUGAAAUAGAACAGAGAAUAUAGAACUAAUACAAUCUACCAACAAUUAACGCAUGGUUACAUACAGCUUUAAAGCAUCUUCACGUUGUUCAUUUUGAAUAUAGACUGACAACAUUGAGUUCCAUGUCACAGGAUUUUUCUCCCCUUUUGUUCUCUCAAAAAUCACCAAAGCCUCAUCAAUCUCACCGUUCCUUGAGUAUAAUGUAAUCAUAGUAUUUGAAGAAAUGAUAGUUUUCCGAGGCAUUUUCUCAAACAACCUCCUUUAAUCCUCAAUUCAGCCGCUCGACCAUCAAAUUACACUAAACCGAAUUUUUCUGAGUCACUCCAUUGAAAAUCAGUUAAGCAUCUUCAAUCCUACCCAUCAAUAUAUAGCCCACAAUUAGGGAAUUUGAAGCACUAAACGGGUUAGCUACUCCAUCAUAAACUCUUUUAGCUUCAGCCUCAGCCUCAGCCUCACAAUUACAAUAAAACUGAAUUAGAGCGCCACCAAUUGACUGGUCAAAUUAAUUCACAUUUUAUCAAAAUCCCAUGAACAACCAUCACUUCUCUUAAGGCUCCAAGCUUCGUAGCUUACUGCAAAACCCUGUAACACAAUCAAAGAUGAACUCGUUAGGUACCAUCUGGCCACUCCUUCUCAUCCAUCGAAACAAGUCCAAGGCCUUUUCACAACAAUCCCCACUCUUGCAUACCCCAAAAUUAGCUUAGUCCACGAAACAGCAUUGAUAUGGCCUGCCCAAAAUACGGAGUGAACUCGGUGAAAAGGUCAAACAGCCCCUUGACUCGAUCAAAUGGUCAAAGUGAAAGAUGACUUGAUCAACAUUACUGAACAGUAGCUCAGACAAGCACAACAAUCCACAUUGCUCGAAUAGCUCUGAGUGAUAGC
rnacentral:misc_RNA from 1 species